UGAGCCACCCGGGUGCCCCUGAAUCUUUUUUUGAAGAAGUGUGUCUUUUUUUGGAGCAAUAUAUUUUGUCCAUUUUUAAAUUGGGUUAUUUGUCUUUACUAUUGAGUUGUAAAAAUUCUUGCAGAUAGAAGACCCUCAUGAGAGAUGUAAUUUGCAAAUCUCAUCUCCCAUUUGGUGGGUUUCUCUCCCUUUCUUGAUAGCAUUGUUUGCAGCAUUAACAUUUUCAGUUUUGACCUAGUCUGCCAGUUUAUCUAUUUUUUUUGUGUGUGUGUGUGGUUGUUGCUUCUGUCUUUGAUGUCAUAUAAUUACCUAAACCAAGAUCACAAAGCUUUUAGAGAAUUUGUAAAGACGUUAUUUUACUCUACAGCUAGUACUGCUGGGUUUUUUAUUUGUUCAUUUUAAAUUGUAAACCCUUCUGGGACAAUACAUAUAGCGCACAUUCAUUUUAAUAGCUGCGUAAUAUUCCGUGGUAUAAAUACGCCUUAAUGUAUUCAACCAGUAUCUAUUGAUGGGCAAAAAGUCUUAUUUCCAGUUUUUUGGGCUUGCCCCAAACAAGACUGCAAAAGUCCUUGUACAUUUUUAUUUUGUUUCUGGUGCCUUUGUUCCUGUAGAAUACAUUGCCUAGGAUGGAAUGGGCAGCUUCCUUCAAAAUCUAAGUAGCUGAGAUUUGUUCUGUAUUGGAACGUGGAUACUCUCGUCAGCCGAUUAGGAAAAAAAAAUUAUGAAUCUACUGUAAGCGAACUUUUCAUCACGCAGAGAGAAUAGUGUACUGAACCCCCAUGAACCUCUGACUCAUCUUCAACGUUUAUCAUCUCGGAGCCGAUUCUGUGUCAUUGUUCUGCUCAGCCCAUAUGGCAGCCACCAGUCACCUGCGGCUGCUCCUAGUUGAGGUGUGAACCACAUCCUCCCCAACGGUUUCCAAGUUCUCUCCCUCCCGGGAGCUCUUAAUUCUUCCCUGACCCACACGGAGAGAGAGAGACAGAGACAGAGCG